rnacentral:rRNA from 1 species
CCAGACUCCUACGGGAGGCAGCAGUGGGGAAUAUUGGGCAAUGGGCGCAAGCCUGACCCAGCAACGCCGCGUGAAGGAAGAAGGCUUUCGGGUUGUAAACUUCUUUUCUGAGGGACGAAGGAAGUGACGGUACCUCAGGAAUAAGCCACGGCUAACUACGUGCCAGCAGCCGCGGUAAUACGUAGGUGGCAAGCGUUAUCCGGAUUUAUUGGGUGUAAAGGGCGUGUAGGCGGGAAUGCAAGUCAGAUGUGAAAACCCGGGGCUCAACCCUGGGAGUGCUUUUGAAACUGUAGGUCUUGAGUAUCGGAGAGGCAGGCGGAAUUCCUAGUGUAGCGGUGAAAUGCGUAGAUAUUAGGAGGAACACCAGUGGCGAAGGCGGCCUGCUGGACGACAACUGACGGUGAGGCGCGAAAGCGUGGGGAGCAAACAGGAUUAGAUACCCUAGUACCC